CUUUCUGAGGGUGGUGAUCCCCCAUCACGGAGUGUCCUGGUGGCGGUGUACGGUUUCGAAUCUACAUAACACGCCUGUGACCCUUUCCUGGACACAAUGCAGACAGUUGCUCGCUUCCCCACCUGUACCACCACACAAUCUAGUAUAACCCUUAUGUAAUUUAUUGACCUACGUUUGUCUUCCCUACUAGACCUAAUUCCUUAUGUGGUCAAGGACUGUUUUUUUUAAUCCACACUCAACUAGUGAUUGUUGAGUGAAUAAAUGAACUUACCCUCACCUCCCUGUCUUCGCUAAUAGCAGCAUGUCUUCGCUCUUAAGUCGGUUCCUUCAACCAGUGUUCAAGAUCCC
rnacentral:lncRNA from 1 species